rnacentral:lncRNA from 1 species
CCAUGUAUCAUAACCACGCAUCAACUAACUUUUAAUCUUUUCUAGGAUGCUGCUCAGAAGCCUGAUGAUGAAAGGGAACCUGAACAUUCCGACCCUCUGGUAGGUCUAUCUUUUUCUAGCAGUGAUGAUGACAUCAACCCUAUCCUAGAUAUCACUCUAUAAAUCUCUUCAGGUAAAAUAAAUCAUAGCCAAUACGACAAAUCCUUUUGUUUUCUCAAACAUACUAACUUAUUUUUAUAAACUUAGCUCUUCAACUCCUUGAAGCAACCUCAUCAGCUAUUCCCAGUCUUGAUAUAGUCUCAGUG